rnacentral:rRNA from 1 species
CGCGUAGGCGGUCUGCUAAGUUGAAUGUGAAAACUCUGGGCUUAACCCAGAGCCUGCAUUCAAUACUGGCAGGCUAGAGUUCUGGAGGGGAUAGCGGAAUUCCUGGUGUAGCGGUGAAAUGCGUAGAUAUCAGGAGGAACACCGGUGGCGAAGGCGGCUAUCUGGACAGAGUCUGACGCUGAGGCGCGAAAGCUAGGGGAGCAAACAGGAUUAGAUACCCUGGUAGUCCUAGCCCUAAACGAUGGAUACUUGCUGUGACUGGGAUUGAAUCCAGUCGUGGCGAAGCUAACGCAUUAAGUAUCCCGCCUGGGGAGUACGGUCGCAAGGCUGAA